GACGCUGGGAAAGUCAUAACCGAAAAUGAAGAAUUCCUUGCAACAUAACUUAAUGGGCUGCGAAUGGCUGAAGAAAUGAACAAAUGUGGCGUACUUUCAAGCGAUGAUUUAUCUGACAUUCGGAGGAAAUCAGACCGAAAGACAAGAGCAGAGGCUUUUUUGAACAAAAUAACCAGCAGGGGGGAAAUUCAGCUGAAGCUUUCCUAGAGAAACUCAAGAAGGUGGAGUCUAGGAACCAUUUCAUCACUCGCCAUUUAUGGCCGGAAAACGAUGAGGAUUUGUGUUGGAUGGCAAACAAUAUGGAGACAAUAUACCCAUAUAUAAUGGAAUGUCUCCCCCUAGUCACUUUGUCGCAACAUCAGCGUGAACUAGGUUUACCAGAUGAGUGUGUUAACAGUGAAGAUGCUGUUUUAACUGCUACACAAUACAUCAUGAAACAAGAAAAUGAAAUAAAACUUCGAUUUCUUCUCAUACUAUUGGAAAAGGAAAUUGUACACAAGGAUUUGUACACGAGUGUUCGCUCGAAUAUGUCUCAUGACAACAUAGCAAGCGAUGAAAAGCCACCAAGCAAGAAUACUCCUCAGACCGAUACUUCCGCCCGAGUCCAGCUUGGACAGUGUAUCGUCGUAAAAGAAAAU